GAUGAAGAACGCAGCAAAAUGCGAUAAGUAAUGUGAAUUGCAGAAUUCAGUGAAUCAUCGAAUCUUUGAACGCACAUUGCGCCCGCUGGUAUUCCGGCGGGCAUGCCUGUUCGAGCGUCAUUUCAACCCUCAAGCCCCCGGGUUUGGUGUUGGGGAUCGGCUCUGCCCUUCUGGGCGGUGCCGCCCCCGAAAUACAUUGGCGGUCUCGCUGCAGCCUCCAUUGCGUAGUAGCUAACACCUCGCAACUGGAACGCGGCGCGGCCAUGCCGUAAAACCCCAACUUCUGAAUGUUGACCUCGGAUCAGGUAGGAAUACCCGCUGAACUUAAGCAUAUCAUAAGCGGAGGA
rnacentral:misc_RNA from 1 species